CCCUUAGAUGUUCUGGGCCGCACGCGCGCUACACUGACGGAGCCAACGAGUAUUUUCCUUGUCCGGAAGGACUGGGUAAUCUUGUGAAACUUUGUCGUGCUGGGGAUAGAGCAUUGUAAUUAUUGCUCUUCAACGAGGAAUUCCUAGUAAGCGUGAGUCAUCAGCUCGCGUUGAUUACGUCCCUGCCCUUUGUACACACCGCCCGUCGCUACUACCGAUUGAAUGGCUUAGUGAGCCUUUGGGACUGGCAGCCAACACCGGCAACGGUAGCUGGCCGCCGAAAACUUAUGCAAACUUGGUCAUUUAGAGGAAGUAAAAGUCGUAACA
rnacentral:rRNA from 1 species